AGGUUAAGUUAACAAGGGCGCAUGGUGAAUGCCUUGGCACUAGGAGCCGAUGAAGGACGGGACUAACACCGAUAUGCUUCGGGGAGCUGUACGUAAGCUAUGAUCCGGAGAUUUCCGAAUGGGGCAACCCAGCAGUUUUAAUCAACUGUUACCACUAGAUGAAUUCAUAGUCUAGUUGGAGGUAAACGCUGUGAACUGAAACAUCUCAUUAGCAGCAGGAAUAUAAAGAAAUUUCGAUUCCCUAAGUAGCGGCGAGCGAACGGGGAACAGCCCAAACCAAAGUGCUUGCACUUUGGGGUUGUAGGACUGAACAUUUGAGUUACCAAAGAACUUGAUAGUCGAAGGAUUUGGGAAAAUCCGCCAUAGAUGGUGAUAGCCCAGUAGAUUAAAUCAAAUUCUCUCAGUUCAGGAUCCUGAGUACGGCGGAACACGUGAAAUUCCGUCGGAAUCCGGGAGGACCAUCUCCCAAGGCUAAAUACUACCUAGUGACCGAUAGUGAACCAGUACCGUGAGGGAAAGGUGAAAAGCACCCCGGGAGGGGAGUGAAAUAGUUCCUGAAACCAUGUGCCUACAAUAAGUCAGAGCGCGUUAAUGCGUGAUGGCGUGCCUUUUGUAGAAUGAACCGGCGAGUUAUGAUCCCGUGCAAGGUUAAGACUAAAAAGUCGGAGCCGUAGCGAAAGCGAGUCUGAAAUGGGCGUUUUGAGUACGAGGUUAUAGACCCGAAACCAGGUGACCUAUCCAUGUCCAGGUUGAAGGUGCGGUAAAACGCACUGGAGGACCGAACCCGUGUAAGUUGAAAAUUGCUGGGAUGAGGUGUGGAUAGCGGUGAAAUUCCAAACGAACUUGGAGAUAGCUGGUUCUCUCCGAAAUAGCUUUAGGGCUAGCCUCGGAAUUAGGAUCAUGGAGGUAGAGCACUAUUUGGACUAGGGGCCCGUCUUGGGUUACUGAAUUCAGAUAAACUCCGAAUGCCAUUGAUUCAUAUCCGGGAGUCAGACGAUGAGUGAUAAGAUCCACCGUCGAAAGGGGAACAGCCCAGACCAUCAGUUAAGGUCCCUAAAUGUAUGCUAAGUGGAAAAGGAUGUGGAGUUGCAUAGACAACUAGGAUGUUGGCUCAGAAGCAGCCACCAUUUAAAGAGUGCGUAAUAGCUCACUAGUCGAGUGAUCCUGCGCCGAAAAUGUACCGGGGCUAAGCAUACUACCGAAACCAUGGAUGCGACCAUUAGGUCGCGUGAUAGGAGAGCGUUCUAAGGGCGGUGAAGCAAGAUCGUGAGGACUUGUGGAGCGCUUAGAAGUGAGAAUGCCGGUAUGAGUAGCGAAAGAUAGGUGAGAAUCCUAUCCACCGAAUGACUAAGGUUUCCUGGGGAAGGCUCGUCCUCCCAGGGUUAGUCGGGACCUAAGUCGAGGCCGAGAGGCGUAGACGAUGGAUAACAGGUUGAGAUUCCUGUACUAGUUAAGUGCGUUUGAGCAAUGGAGGGACGCAGGAGGCUAAGAUGUGCAUUCUGUUGGAUUAGAAUGUCCAAGCAGUAAGUCUUGUGAAGAGUCAAAUGCUUUUCACUUUAAGGACAAGCUGUGAUGGGGAGCGAAAUUUAGUAGCGAAGCGUCUGAUGUCACACUGCCGAGAAAAGCUUCUAGUGAGUACUUAACUACCCGUACCGCAAACCGACACAGGUAGUCGAGGAGAGAAUCCUAAGGUGAGCGAGUGAACUCUCGUUAAGGAACUCGGCAAAAUGACCCCGUAACUUCGGGAGAAGGGGUGCUGAUCGCAAGAUCAGCCGCAGUGAAUAGGCCCAGGCGACUGUUUAUCAAAAACAAAGGUCUCUGCAAAAUCGUAAGAUGACGUAUAGGGGCUGACGCCUGCCCGGUGCUGGAAGGUUAAAAGGAUGGGUUAGCUUCGGCGAAGCUCAGAAUUGAAGCCCCAGUAAACGGCGGCCGUAACUAUAACGGUCCUAAGGUAGCGAAAUUCCUUGUCGGGUAAGUUCCGACCCGCACGAAAGGCGUAACGAUCUGGGCACUGUCUCAACGAGAGACUCGGUGAAAUUAUAUUGUUCGUGAAGAUGCGGACUACCCGCGACAGGACGGAAAGACCCCAUGGAGCUUUACUGUAGCUUGAUAUUGAGUGUUUGUACAGCUUGUACAGGAUAGGUAGGAGCCAUAGAAACCGGAACGCUAGUUUCGGUGGAGGCGUUGGUGGGAUACUACCCUCGCUGUAUGACCACUCUAACCCGCACCACUAAUCGUGGUGGGAGACAGUGUCAGGUGGGCAGUUUGACUGGGGCGGUCGCCUCCUAAAAAGUAACGGAGGCGCCCAAAGGUUCCCUCAGAAUGGUUGGAAAUCAUUCGCAGAGUGUAAAGGCACAAGGGAGCUUGACUGCGAGACAGACAGGUCGAGCAGGGACGAAAGUCGGGCUUAGUGAUCCGGUGGUACCGUAUGGAAGGGCCAUCGCUCAACGGAUAAAAGCUACCCUGGGGAUAACAGGCUUAUCUCCCCCAAGAGUCCACAUCGACGGGGAGGUUUGGCACCUCGAUGUCGGCUCAUCGCAUCCUGGGGCUGUAGUCGGUCCCAAGGGUUGGGCUGUUCGCCCAUUAAAGCGGUACGCGAGCUGGGUUCAGAACGUCGUGAGACAGUUCGGUCCCUAUCCGUCGCGGGCGUAGGAAAUUUGAGAGGACCUGUCCUUAGUACGAGAGGACCGGGAUGGACAUACCUCUGGUGUACCAGUUGUGCCGCCAGGCGCAUCGCUGGGUAGCUACGUAUGGAUGUGAUAAACGCUGAAAGCAUCUAAGUGUGAAACACACCUCGAGAUGAGAUUUCCCAUUCCUUUAUGGAAGUAAGACCCCUGAAAGAUGAUCAGGUAGAUAGGUUAGAAGUGGCAGUGCGGUGACGCAUGAAGCGGACUAAUACUAAUCGGUCGAGGACUUAACCAAG
rnacentral:rRNA from 2 species